AACGAACGCUGGCGGCAUGCCUAACACAUGCAAGUCGAACGAGACCUUCGGGUCUAGUGGCGCACGGGUGCGUAACGCGUGGGAACCUGCCCUUAGGUUCGGAAUAACUCCCCGAAAGGGGAGCUAAUACCGGAUAAUGUCUUCGGACCAAAGAUUUAUCGCCUUUGGAUGGGCCCGCGUUGGAUUAGCUAGUUGGUAGGGUAAAAGCCUACCAAGGCGACGAUCCAUAGCUGGUCUGAGAGGAUGAUCAGCCACACUGGGACUGAGACACGGCCCAGACUCGUACGGGAGGCAGCAGUGGGGAAUAUUGGACGAUGGGCGAAAGCCUGAUCCAGCAAUGCCGCGUGAGUGAUGAAGGCCUUAGGGUUGUAAAGCUCUUUUACCCGGGAUGAUAAUGACAGUACCGGGAGAAUAAGCACCGGCUAACUCCGUG
rnacentral:rRNA from 1 species